rnacentral:pre_miRNA from 1 species
CAGCCUCUGCAGGCUGGCUGGUCCCCAUGCUGCGCUGGGUGAAUAUCUUUGAAAAGCUCACCUUCAAGCAGUACUAGGAGC